rnacentral:rRNA from 1 species
UAUUGCACAAUGGGCGCAAGCCUGAUGCAGCCAUGCCGCGUGUGUGAAGAAGGCCUUCGGGUUGUAAAGCACUUUCAGCGGGGAGGAAGGCGAUAAGGUUAAUAACCUUGUUGAUUGACGUUACCCGCAGAAGAAGCACCGGCUAACUCCGUGCCAGCAGCCGCGGUAAUACGGAGGGUGCAAGCGUUAAUCGGAAUUACUGGGCGUAAAGCGCACGCAGGCGGUCUGUCAAGUCGGAU